rnacentral:rRNA from 1 species
GUUGUAUGGUUAAGUGACUAAGCGUACACGGUGGAUGCCUUGGCAGUCAGAGGCGAUGAAGGACGUAUUAACUUGCGAUAAGCCCAGAUUAGGUAGUAAAAACCAUUUGAGUCUGGGAUUUCCGAAUGGGGAAACCCACUAGCAUAAGCUAGUAUCGCUGCGUGAAUACAUAGCGCAGCGAGGCGAACCGGGGGAACUGAAACAUCUAAGUACCCCGAGGAAAAGAAAUCAACCGAGAUUCCGAAAGUAGCGGCGAGCGAAAUUGGACUAGCCCUUAAGCUUUUUAUGCGUCAGGUGAAACUUCUGGAAAGUUGUGCGAUACAGGGUGAUAGCCCCGUAACCGGCAACGCAUUUAAAGUGAAAUCGAGUAGGGCGGGACACGUGAUAUCCUGUCUGAAUAUGGGGGGACCAUCCUCCAAGGCUAAAUACUACUGACUGACCGAUAGUGAACCAGUACCGUGAGGGAAAGGCGAAAAGAACCCCUGUGAGGGGAGUGAAAUAGAACCUGAAACCGUGUACGUACAAGCAGUAGGAGCACCUUCGUGGUGUGACUGCGUACCUUUUGUAUAAUGGGUCAGCGACUUAUAUUCAGUGGCAAGGUUAACCAUCUAGGGGAGCCGUAGGGAAACCGAGUCUUAACUGGGCGUUCAGUCUCUGGAUAUAGACCCGAAACCAGGUGAUCUAGCCAUGGGCAGGUUGAAGGUUGAGUAACAUCAACUGGAGGACCGAACCGACUAAUGUUGAAAAAUUAGCGGAUGACUUGUGGCUAGGGGUGAAAGGCCAAUCAAACCUGGAGAUAGCUGGUUCUCCCCGAAAGCUAUUUAGGUAGCGCCUCGGACGAAUACUACUGGGGGUAGAGCACUGUUAAGGCUAGGGGGUCAUCCCGACUUACCAACCCUUUGCAAACUCCGAAUACCAGUAAGUACUAUCCGGGAGACACACGGCGGGUGCUAACGUCCGUCGUGGAGAGGGAAACAACCCAGACCGCCAGCUAAGGUCCCAAAUUACUACUAAGUGGGAAACGAUGUGGGAAGGCUCAGACAGCCAGGAUGUUGGCUUAGAAGCAGCCAUCAUUUAAAGAAAGCGUAAUAGCUCACUGGUCGAGUCGGCCUGCGCGGAAGAUGUAACGGGGCUAAGUAGUAAACCGAAGCUGCGGCAAUGCACUUUAGUGCAUUGGGUAGGGGAGCGUUCUGUAAGCGGUUGAAGGUGUGUGGUAACGCAUGCUGGACGUAUCAGAAGUGCGAAUGCUGACAUGAGUAACGAUAAAGGGGGUGAAAAACCUCCUCGCCGGAAGACCAAGGGUUCCUGUCCAACGUUAAUCGGGGCAGGGUAAGUCGACCCCUAAGGCGAGGCCGAAAGGCGUAGUCGAUGGGAAACGGGUUAAUAUUCCCGUACUUCUUACAAUUGCGAUGGGGGGACGGAGAAGGCUAGGUGGGCCUGGCGACGGUUGUCCAGGUUCAAGUGCGUAGGCUUAAGAGUUAGGUAAAUCCGGCUCUUUUUAAGGCUGAGACACGACGUCGAGCUACUACGGUAGUGAAGUCAUUGAUGCCAUGCUUCCAGGAAAAGCCUCUAAGCUUCAGAUUGUAAGGAAUCGUACCCCAAACCGACACAGGUGGUCGGGUAGAGAAUACCAAGGCGCUUGAGAGAACUCGGGUGAAGGAACUAGGCAAAAUGGUACCGUAACUUCGGGAGAAGGUACGCUCUCGACGGUGAAGUCCCUUGCGGAUGGAGCUAUUGAGAGUCGCAGAUACCAGGUGGCUGCAACUGUUUAUUAAAAACACAGCACUGUGCAAAAUCGUAAGAUGACGUAUACGGUGUGACGCCUGCCCGGUGCCGGAAGGUUAAUUGAUGGGGUUAGACUUCGGUCGAAGCUCUUGAUCGAAGCCCCGGUAAACGGCGGCCGUAACUAUAACGGUCCUAAGGUAGCGAAAUUCCUUGUCGGGUAAGUUCCGACCUGCACGAAUGGCGUAAUGAUGGCCACGCUGUCUCCACCCGAGACUCAGUGAAAUUGAAAUCGCUGUGAAGAUGCAGUGUACCCGCGGCUAGACGGAAAGACCCCGUGAACCUUUACUACAGCUUGGCACUGAACAUUGACCCUACAUGUGUAGGAUAGGUGGGAGGCUUUGAAGCACAGUCGCUAGAUUGUGUGGAGCCGUCCUUGAAAUACCACCCUUGUAGUGUUGAUGUUCUAACGUUGACCCCUAAUCGGGGUUGCGGACAGUGCCUGGUGGGUAGUUUGACUGGGGCGGUCUCCUCCCAAAGCGUAACGGAGGAGCACGAAGGUGGGCUAAUCACGGUUGGACAUCGUGAGGUUAGUGCAAUGGCAUAAGCCCGCUUGACUGCGAGAAUGACGGUUCGAGCAGGUGCGAAAGCAGGUCAUAGUGAUCCGGUGGUUCUGAAUGGAAGGGCCAUCGCUCAACGGAUAAAAGGUACUCCGGGGAUAACAGGCUGAUACCGCCCAAGAGUUCAUAUCGACGGCGGUGUUUGGCACCUCGAUGUCGGCUCAUCACAUCCUGGGGCUGAAGUCGGUCCCAAGGGUAUGGCUGUUCGCCAUUUAAAGUGGUACGCGAGCUGGGUUUAGAACGUCGUGAGACAGUUCGGUCCCUAUCUGCCGUGGGCGUUGGAAGAUUGAAGGGGGCUGCUCCUAGUACGAGAGGACCGGAGUGGACGAACCUCUGGUGUUCGGGUUGUGUCGCCAGACGCAUUGCCCGGUAGCUAAGUUCGGAAUCGAUAACCGCUGAAAGCAUCUAAGCGGGAAGCGAGCCCUGAGAUGAGUCUUCCCUGAUACUUUAAGUAUCCUAAAGGGUUGUUCGAGACUAGAACGUUGAUAGGCAGGGUGUGUAAGCGUUGUGAGGCGUUGAGCUAACCUGUACUAAUUGCCCGUGAGGCUUAACCAUACAACACCCAAGGGGUUU